rnacentral:lncRNA from 1 species
AAAUAUUAGAAACAUUAAUGUACUUAAACAAAAAAAACAUAAUUUUUAUUGGUUGUUCAAGUACAUUAAAUAGAAGGCUACAUAGAAAAAUUGUUAAGUUAUUAUGUAUGAAUAAGAGUAAUACAAAAAAAAAAAUUUACUUAUUGAGGGAGAAAAGUAAUUUGUCUGAUAUUGAACACGUGCAAGUUGAUACAAAACAAAUGGAUGACUAUGUGAAAAGUGAUAGUAAUAAAUCUGGUACAUGUGAAAUAGAAGAAGUUAUAGUAGCAAAAAGUCAAAGGGAUAGGACGGUUAAAAUAAACCCGUAUGUAUCCCCAGUUUCUAAUGAUAAAACAAUUAUAAUAAAUAACAUAAUAAAUGAUAUUGCAAAAGAAGAGAAUAGUAAAAUAGAUGCAGAAACGGGUGGUGAAAUAGGUGCAGAAAUAGGUGCAGAAAUAGGUGCAGAAAUAGGUGCAAAAGUAGGUGCAAAAGUAGGUGCAGAAGUAGGUGCAGAAGUAGGUGCAGAAGUAGGUGUAGAAGUAGGUGCAGAAAUAGGUGCAGAAAUAGGUGCAGAAACGAGUGCAAAAGCAGACGAAAACUAUUUUGGAAACUGGAAUGAAGAAGAAACAUUAGAAAAAUAUAUCAUAAAAGUUAAAAUGCCUAAUAAUAUAUACCAUUUUUAUCAUAUUAUAAAUAAUGAACUAUUCAAUAAUAAAAUGGAAAAAAUAUGUAACAUAAUAAACCAUUUUAAAAAGCAAAAAAUAUUAAUUUUAGUAGAGAAUGGUUAUUAUUCUUUAUUAAAUAUGAAACAAUAUUUACAUAAAAAUAAUAUAUUUUCUUUAUUAUUACAUGAACAAUUAGAAAUAUCGUUGAAUGAUAAUAAUAAACAAUUAUUUAAUAUGUGUAAAAAUUAUGAAAAAUUAAAAAUUUUAAAUGAAACUGUAACUAUGACAAUGACAAUGAAUAAAAAAAAAGAAAUACAAAAUAAAAAUAUGUAUUUAAAUAAAUACCCUAUUGUUAUUAGUUCAUUUGAUAACAUUCGUGGGUUUCAUAUAAACGAUUUGGAUAUUGUAAUUUUAUGUAAUAAACCUGCCAAUAUAAAUGAAUAUAUUCAUUUAUGUGGAAGAGUAGGAAGAAGAAAUAAAAACGGUUACGCUAUAUUAAUAGAAAAUGAAAAAAAUGUUCAUAUUGUUAAUAAUUGGCUAACGCAUAUAAAUGUUAAUUUUAACAAUUUGUGCAUAAAAACAUUAAAUGGUGUUGAAAAUGGUGUUGAAAAUGGUGUUGAAAAUGGUGUUGAAAAUGGUGUUGUAAAUGGUGUUGAAAAUGGCGUUGUAAAUGGUGUUGUAA